UCUGCGUCUUUAAUCCAUCUAGAAUCCACUCACACCUUAUGGGUCUUAUCCCUUUAGGUGAAUCAACGAAUGCCCAUAUAUUGUCGAUCUUUAUAGACUUCGUUUCAGAUUUAAUGGCUCUAAACUACUUCUCAAAGUUAGAUCCCUGUAUAGCAUCCGUAUGGGAGAUCAAAUCUCCAUCCUGAAUUUAAAAACUGAAGUAUCUGUUUGGCUGAUAUGGU
rnacentral:lncRNA from 1 species